rnacentral:rRNA from 1 species
UACGUAGGUGGCAAGCGUUACUCGGAAUCACUAGGCGUAAAGCGCAGGUAGGCGGUUUGGUAAGUCUGUUGUGAAAGCUCCUGGCUUAACUGGGAGAGGUCAACGGAAACUGCCAGGCUCGAGUGUGGUAGAGGUAGCUGGAAUUCCCGGUGUAGCGGUGAAAUGCGUUGAUAUCAUCAGGAAUACCGGAGGCGAAGGCGGCUCACUGGGUCUCUUCUGACGCUGAGGAACGAAAGCGUGGGGAGCGAACAGG